UUUGACGAUGGCGGAGAGAAUAGCAUUGUUAUCGUUUCCACUCGAUGGAUUCGCCGAUAAUUCGGACAUAGAUCAGAUUGGGAUCAAUAACACGAGUGCAUAGGAUCAAAUACAUGUGUUACCACGUUGUAUUUUUACUGCUUUUGUUAAAAUUGUGUGUGUGUUGUCAGUUAGGGUCGAAGAUACGCCGAACAAAUUCGGCCUCUCUAUACACACAUAUUUUGCAGGUCUCAUUUGCGACUGCAAAGGUCAACAUAUCAGGAAUUCUGUGAAACUGUGGCACUAUGUAUGGUACGUGGGCGCACAAUUUUUGUCGACAAAAGGAUAUUGGCAAUUUUGUGGGUGCAUACAGGAGCGUGGUUAACCGAUUUGGAAUAAGCAAAGGGACUUUACAUCUCACGGUCAUUUCAACAUGUAGAGUCUUGUCAGUAAUGAUUGAGCAGCACAUCACAUGUCCAGAAUCUCGUCAUGCGGAAUGUAUAGCGUUGUAGGGGCUGUAAAUGGAACUCACAUGGCAUGUCCUGUUCCAACAUCCGAGCAUAGGUCCUCGUUUAACAACAGGAAAGGAUAAUCCAGUUAGUUCUUCAAGUAGUCUGUGACAGUAACUUAAAAUUCUCAAACUUUGGACAUUUUCCCUGGAUGUCCAAGUUCUGUACACGAUAUAGGAUAUUAAAAACGUUGCGUCUCACAAGUGUUGAUCACUCCAAUAUUAGUUUAAAAUGUGUUCAUUGACCGACACUUUUGGCUGCUGAAAAUAAUACA